rnacentral:rRNA from 1 species
GACGAACGCUGGCGGCGUGCCUAAUACAUGCAAGUUGAGCGCUGAAGGUUGGUACUUGUACCGACUGGAUGAGCAGCGAACGGGUGAGUAACGCGUGGGGAAUCUGCCUUUGAGCGGGGGACAACAUUUGGAAACGAAUGCUAAUACCGCAUAAAAACUUUAAACACAAGUUUUAAGUUUGAAAGAUGCAAUUGCAUCACUCAAAGAUGAUCCCGCGUUGUAUUAGCUAGUUGGUGAGGUAAAGGCUCACCAAGGCGAUGAUACAUAGCCGACCUGAGAGGGUGAUCGGCCACAUUGGGACUGAGACACGGCCCAAACUCCUACGGGAGGCAGCAGUAGGGAAUCUUCGGCAAUGGACGAAAGUCUGACCGAGAAACGCCGCGUGAGUGAAGAAGGGUUUCGGAUCGUAAAACUCUGUUGGUAGAGAAGAACGUUGGUGAGAGUGGAAAGCUCAUCAAGUGACGGUAACUACCCAGAAAGGGACGGCUAACUACGUG